rnacentral:lncRNA from 1 species
CUCAAUAAUGUAAUAAUCCAAUGAAAUUGAUACUUACUAAAAAAAAUUUAAAUAUUGGAAAACAUAAGUUAUGGUAAUGAAAGCAUACAAGUUGCAAUCCUGUUAUUCUACCAGUUUGUGUCCCUAUCUAGACAAGACCUCAUCAUCUUCCAGAGGUUCUUUUCACUCAUUUUAUUCACAUGUUUUUGGUACCAAAAUCCUGCAAGUAAAAGGAAUACAACACAGUAUCACCAACUGUGACAAAGGGAUGCUAGCUACCUCCUGUUUUUGCAAUGUGCAUGUUUCAUGCAUCCACUUGCAUUUUGGAUUUAUAUGAAACAAGAUAUAAAAAAUAUGUUCACAACAUCCAAAUGUUUGUCUUUCACACAUUUCAUCCACCACAAAUUGUCCACAACUUAAUCAAUAUAUUAUAUGAAUAUUACUUGGAAAAUGACAUGCUUCAUUAUUACUCAAAUAACAGUGAAUCUAAUAAAAUCACUUCACAUUUUUCUGUAAGUUUGUUUCAUGAUCUAAAAGAUGGAAGGCUCACUAUGAGCACAUGCUAUGAAAAAUUGAGAAUCCAGUUCUCAUGAAGAGUUAAGCAAAUGAUAUGCUUCAUUUAUGGAACAACAAAAGGGAACUUUUCAUGAAAACCACCAUGGUCUGAUUUAAUAUGUUGUCCCAUAGGUCAAACCAUAUUAGAAAUGAAUCUCAAUGAUAUUUGUGACAAGUGUUUAGCACGUGACAUAUCUUCCAACUAUGUUAUUAACAGGAUGUGGUCCCAUGUUCAUAGUUAAGACACUAAGAUUAAAAAUGAACAAGAGCGAAAAGAUAAUGAUAAGAGAAGGUGCUAGAAUUCAAUAUUAAGAUAUCCCAACAGAAGAAAAAUAAAGUUUCACUUAGUGCGUAAGUGUCCCACAUAAUAGAGUGUAAGAACAAAAAAUGUACACAACCUCAUUCAGCAAGUAGCAAGUAUGAUUUGAACCCACUUAAGCAGUAACUCGCCAUUGUGUUGAUGCUGAUAGAGAGAAAAAUCUAGUAAACAAUAUCUUCGCUUAUAGAAUAACUUUUUUUAUACUACCAAGGGCAUUCACUUACUCUAUGGUAAGAAACUAAUUCAUUUUGAGAUGUAUGGUUACCCCUCUAACAACUGUUGCUCGCAGGAAUUAAACCAUUAAUAUUUUGAUCUUUCUGAUGAUCUAACAGAACUUUAUACCGCCUUGUUAAUUAUAUAUAUAGAAUAAGACUGGGUACAUUAAAUUAAUACUCCAACUUCAAAUACAGGAGAAAAAAAUUGCCCUAUUAUGCUGUGGUGAUUAUGAGCUUUACUUUAUGAGCAAAAUUUUGUCAAAGUUUAAGCUUUAUGAAGACACACAUAAAAACUACCCACAAGAGCCCAUUAUGCUUGAAGUGUGGUGGAUUGUCCAUAGGCCUAAUUUUGUUUUAAAUUCAACUUUUAGUUAGAAGAAUCAGGACAAUCAAACCCAUAACCUUUUCGAUAAAUGAAGAUGAGUGGAAUAAUUCCAUUUUUGUUUAUAUGUUUUGCUAGUAAAACAUGGUAACAUAUACUGUUCCACAGAAUGAAAGCAAUACUUGUAUUGAUUCUAGAAAAUAUAUGAAGAUCUUUCUUCCAAAAACAAGCUACUCUUGAAAUUUAGUAAAUGGUUAUGAAAUGCUCAUAGUAAUUAGCUGUCAAACUUAUAGAAUCAAAUUAAUUGACAAUUUGAAUAUAAAUUAUCCAUUUUUAAGUACAGAUAAUACAGAAAAGCAUGAGGGUAUGCUUGAUUGAAUAUGUGGAAAGUGAGAAGGUGAAAAAUGAAAAUGUAUUUGAAUACAAUAAAGUCCAGAUACAACCAUCAAUUGGAACCUUGAGAAUAAACACCUAAAAGGAAUGAAAGAAUAAUUCAACUCCCAAGUGGAAUAUGCUAGAAGCAUAGAACAGAAGAUCAAUGACAAAAUAAUGGGUACAAUUUAGUGAAGGCCCAAAAAAGUGACACUGAAAACCAUACCAUUGGCAUAUAGAUUAUGGUUAUGGAUACUUCAUCUAGUAGCAACCCAAGAAUAUAAUGAAAGUGGCAUAAAAGAUGGACAAGCAAAAAAAGUACCAUAUAGAAAGUAUGAAGGAAUUGCUUGGUUGAACAUAUAGAAAGUGGUAAGGUGAGAAGUUAUUUGAACACAAUUAAGUGUAAAUACAACCUUCAAUUGGAAUCUUGAGAACAAGAAUCUAAAAGCCAAUAAAAGAACACUUCAACUCCCAAGUGGAAUAUACUAGUGCUAGAAUCCUAGAACACAUGAUCAAUGGCAAAACAAUGACCACAAGUUUUGAAGGCCAAGAAAAAAGAGACAUUGGAAAUUAUACCAUUGGCAUAUAGAUUAUGAAUUAUGAUAGGGAACUGAAAACAGUAGAAUCAUAGUAUUCCACUUUAAGAAAAAAGGGAUAGAUAGGAUCAUAGGAGGAUGCAACUAGGAAUUAAUAUUAACAUGUUGUAGGGACAACAUAAACUUGACAUGAGAUACUAUUCCAAAGAUAAAGGUCUCAAUUAACCAAUAAAAAAACUUCAAAAAGGUCACUAGGUGAUGAAAGGUCAAACUUUGACAUGGCAUAUAUCUUAGAGAAGGAUAGGUGAUAAGUGGUAGUGUGGUACAUUGCUGAGGGCCUUAAGAAACUCAUGGUAAAAAUGAAGAAUUAAAGUGAUGGUUAAAGUAAGUUCAAAACUUUGAUCAAGGUAGAAAUGUGGUACCAGGAAUUGAAGAGUAGAAUGAGGGCUUAUUUUAGAUAAAGGAACAAGUUUAAGUAAGGAUAACUAUCACCUAGUAGUGAGUGAUGAUUGUAAUUACCAUGGAAGAAGCCCCCAGCUUGUGUUUAAUAAUCAGAGACUAUGUUACAGUACCCACCUUGGAACAUGUUUUGUAAUUGUAAACCAACAACAAAACAAACCAAAAGUGGACACUCAUUCACAUUUCUCUUUUAUAAAUAACAUUGUGCAUUUCACUGAAUAAUCUUAUCAACAAUUAAAUACUUUGGAUACUUAAAAAUCUUAAGUAUUAUAACUUACAAUAAAUCUAACCUUAAAAACCAAAAAAUAAAUCUAACUUUAGUUUUAAAUUUUUCUAAAUUGCACUUAUUGUCCCAAAACAAAAAUUAAAUAUUCUCAUUGCAGACCAUUCUUGUAUUUGCUAUUAAUACUGGGCCAAAUGAGUGAUUUAGUAACCCACUCACAUAGAUGAAUUAGGCCUAUCAGAUAAUAUACAAGAGCCUAAAGAUACGGGCCAGGAUCAGGAACAUACGUUCAUUCAUGACAUAGGUUAAUGUGUAUUGGGCUAUGGCAUUGAAAAAUAAUCACUGACUUUUGAGAGCAUCUGCAGCAGAUGUCACUGCUGACGAAAAAAUGAAUAAGAAAUUUAAAAAGUUAGUAACUAUGCAAAAUAUAUACAUCCUGCGUGAAGGUUACAUCACAUUAUUGGUACUUGUUGAUGUUGUCAUCGUCCUAUUAGUUGUGUUUCAAAUUUUUGUGAUCAAUAAAAUUUGCAACGAUAAGUAUCUAUUUGUGUCUUCAUUAAAUUAUCAUUGUCUCCACACUGACCACAUAAGUUGUUUUCAAGUUGAAAAUUUAACACUAUCAGUUAAAUGAAAUUGUUUCAUACCGAUUUUUUUAUAAAAUAAUUAAGACACAUAACAACGUCAUUUUAAUCAAUGAAUUAACUAAAACAAAAAAUACAAAUGAGGAAGUAAAAUAAUGACCAGGAGAAAAUAAGGAAAAAAAUAUAAUUGUCCAAAUAAUUUGUAUGGUAGUUUUAGGAGAAAAUAAUUAAUUAACAAAAUAAAGAAAGUAACAUACAAUAAGGAAAUAAGGAAAAGAAAGAGGUUAAAAUUUAGGAGUGAACAAGAUGAGGAGAUAAGAAGAAGACAUAAACGAUUGAUUUUUUUUUUAAAUCAGUUCGUUUCACUAAUUGUGUUACAAAUGUCAUGUAUGGUCAAGUGUGCAUAAAUAACGUGCCACAUCAAUCAUUCUCUUAUCAUUCUCACACCCAUAUGAAGAGAUCAACGUGACUAGCAAUACUAAAAAAAGUUGAGGACCGAAAUUAUAAUUUAAAUUUAUUAAAGAAGAUCUAGAAAAUAUGAAUCACUAAAAUGGGUGUUCAUGCAUGAUAUGGGACAAAUUUGGUCAUUAAUAUGGAAGAACUUACAAAUUGAGCAGUACUGAUAAAGACAAAUUAGAUUAGAUUGGCAUUGGCCCAACUUAGACACAGUCGUUUUGCUUGGCUUCACGAAUCAAUACAAAGUUGGACCCACUUCUCUUAUCCCAUUUCUUCCUUUAACACAGUUCAAUCAUUUCAUUCACAGCUCACACACACACAAAAUCAUUCAGAUUAACGCAAUAACAAUGAAAAUUUCAAUCUACUUUGUAAUAGUAUUAGUCUUACCUUUAUGUUAUGCAAUCGACGAAGAUGGAGAAACCAUAAUCUUCAAAACACUUGGCAGAGACAACUACGCCUUCGACAUUUACACUCUU